GCCGCCGUAGCUCUGUGGUCAGAUCGUCGGGCUAGCAAUCCGGGGCUCGCGGGUUCAAAUCUCCGCCGUGAAA